GGACCCCUCGGUGACAGACAGACUCCUCAGCCAAUCAGGUGCCAGGCCCUGAGGUACAGGCCUAGCUCAUAGUGGCGGCAGCAAGACCCUUGCAGGCCAUAGAACCCUCCAGGUCACAGAACCUUUGGGGUUUUGGGGACAACAGAGACCCCCCUGAGCUCAAGGAUCGACUGAUGAGACUCCUCGGGACUGAGAGCCCUCAGCUGCUCCUCGACAUUGUCUUGAGCCGGCAGCUUUAAGGAGGAAAGAAAUUCCUUGAGUCUCAUACAACAGCUACAAAAAGCGCUGGCCUUACUGAUGGUUCUGAAUGCUCGGAGCUGACAGUCCUGAGUCCUGAUCUGAGCCAUUCCCUUUUCUAAAGAGGCUGCAAGCCGGCAAGAGGCAGAAGAUAAGCCGUGGCCCUGCCGUGCAACAAUUCCAGAUCAGUGGAACAAUUCCAGGUCGGCCAGAAAACAAAACAAAAAGCAGCUAUGAGACUAUGAGACAAACCCCAGAACUUCUCAAGUUUCGUCUGCCCCAGAUGUUUAGGGAGAUGAGCAAUGCGCUGCCCACAGGAGGGAGCCAAAUACAUUGUUCUCAAGAAAAGCAGAAAACACCUUUGUCUUCAGUGUCUUCAUCAAAUGUUCCUGUGUGAAAAGGAGGAAAAGCCAAUGGCAAGCUCUGAACAAAGUGAUGGAGCCUCUUGCACCGACUCAAAGGGAACCCAAACUUAUCCGGGAGCGUUCAGGGGAAAAAGCAUCAUAUUCAGUUGUGCGAGGAAUCACAACCAUCCACGUGAACGUGGAGCUUGGAGAGGGUUCGAGGGACCAUCCCGCAUGAACGAGAUCAUGAACCGGUGUCACCAGGGCGACGCACGGGCUGGAAGGUGGGUCCGAUGCCUGGGUGAGCAAAUUCUCACGGAACUUCUCCAAUUCAGAGGGAUGAGUUAGUUCUUUUUUUCCAAUGCUACUUCAUACAUCAUAUGACAAGACACAUCUGCUCAGUGACUAAUAUAAAGGGAAUAUCCCAUGCGUGUAAGAGGCACAAGCCUGCCUCACACUCAACCUUUCUGAAUUCUUUUCGAGGGCUGGUUAUGCAAUAAAUAAAUGGGGACAAAUUCAUCCCAGGGAAGAACUUUUAGUCAGCCUUGAAAGCAGCAAUUUGGCUUGGAAAAAAAUAUCCAACAUCAAAAUAAUAAUGAGCGCAUGUUACUGCUGACAGUCCUGGAGACAAGAAUUCUCCAUGCACCCAGAGCCAACGUCUCAAGUGCUCGCUCCUUCAUAUCUUAGCUCUUACAUAUGGAAAACCCUCAGCAGAGGGAGGGAGCGGGAAGGGUUUGGAAGGCUAAAUGCCUUGAGAUUUGGCUUUUGGGUGCACCGAGCCUCGAAUAGCAGCGGUGAGGACACCGAUGGCACCGCGGUGAGGACACCGAUGGGACCUCGGUAAGGACACUGAUGGCACCGUGGUGAGGACACCGGUGGCACCGUGGUGAGGACACUGAUGGCACCGUGGUGAGGACACCGAUGGCACCUCGGUGAGGACACCGGUGGCACCUCAGUGAGGACACUGAUGGCACCGCGGUGAGGACACUGGUGGCACCUCGGUGAGGACACCGAUGGCACCUCGGUGAGGACACCGGUGGCACCUCGGUAAGGACACCGAUGGCACCGUGGUGAGGACACCGGUGGCACCAUGGUGAGGACACCAGUGGUACCUCAGUGAGGACACCGGUGGCACCUCGGUAAGGACACCGAUGGCACCGUGGUGAGGACACCGGUGGUACCUCAGUGAGGACACCGAUGGCACCUCGGUAAGGACACCGAUGGCACUGCGGUGAGGACACCGAUGGCACCGUGGUGAGGACACCAGUGGCACCAUGGUGAGGACACCGAUGGCACCGUGGUGAGGACGCCAGUGGCACCUCAGUGAGGACACCGAUGGCACCAUGGUGAGGACGCCGGUGGCACCUCCCGCUGUUUGCUGUGCCGCUGGGCCCAAGGGAUCCCCCGGGGAAAUUGGAGGGUGAAGAAGAGGAGCCAUCGCUGUCUUCUUGCCGGCCGAGGUGCCAAUAAACCAGCGGAUAUUUGCUUUUUGCAACCCCUAGGCUGGUUCUGUGGGACCUCCCUGGAGGAGCUCCCGGGAGGGCACUGAAGCGAAGGGCGUUUGGUUGGUGCCAUCUGGAGUUGUCAGCUGAAUGAUGUAGAACUCGGGGAACAGUGUAAUAAAUAAAUGCAGCCGGUAGCCCCAGCGGUCCUUGGAGCUUUGCAAUACUCCGAAACAGUUGUGCAAUAAAGAGGAAAAUAACGUAUUGAAAAGGAGUAUUUCAUCAACUGGAGGCUGGGGAAUAAAUCAGAGAAAACCAUGUUCUGAAAGUAAUGUAUCUGCUAGGUUUGGCCUGUCUUGGGGAUUUGUUUGCCUUCUUUUUUUCUAUUCACAGAUUGUUCAUCUGCAAAUUGUGGUCCGCAGCUUCAAAUGGUGGAUAACUGCAUCAUGCUGUUGAAGUUUAUGAACCAGUGUCACCAGUGGAGCUCUGUUACUUCCACUAGCUGAAAUAUUGGCCUUAUGAACUGCUGGGAGCCCAUUUUUAGAACCUGGAGAUGAAGCCAAUAUGCAUUUCUCUGGAGGAAGGGGAAAAGAAGCUGAGCAAAUAGCAGCUGCCUUUCAGUAAAACACGUAGAAUGGCCAUUAGGAUGCUUGAGGAUGUCGAAUUUCGUUGAGGAUGUUGGGGAACAGAGGGGAGAAGUGACUGGAAGUGACUAAAGAGCCAGAGCCUAGAACGUCUGACACGGAGCUGGCCGACCAAACCACCAUCAUAUCCUUUUAUUUCCAUGUAAAUAACGUUGGAUGAUGAAGACAGUGGAAUUUUACAGUGGUUCGUGAGCAAACUCGAUUUUCAGGACGCUGAGCGCGAUGGAGGGUCGAUCAACAGCACCAGGCACGUUCGGUGACGGAGCAGAUUCACGUGUGGGCUCAACAACCCUUGGUCUGACAGCGGGAUGCACAUGAGCAGAGUCCUUGGGUCUCUCGAGGUCUGCCGAGGCACAGAAAGGAAGAGCUGACCUGAGAAUAUCUGCAGGAGGACAUGAUGUGACAACACUCACAUAAACACAAGUGGAAUUUGGGGACCUAUACAGAGGUGUUGCUGAGGCUUUUCCACCAGCUGGGACUCCCCCGAAGCAGCUGGGAAGGUCAGCAGCAGGGGGAAGAGGAGAAACCUCAGUUUGACACAGAGAUGAGCUGUGGAUAACGACAGUUGCUUCUGGAGCCAUGAGAAAACUCUUCAAUCCUGUGAUCCUGACCAGUAUCUCCAGCCUUGGUCCAUGGUGUCCUCUGUGCUUGGCCUUGCUGAUAUGUGAGGCUGCUCCGAACACUCCUGCUCCACCUCCAAACAGUGAGUUCUCUCCGCAAAGAACGACGUUCCGGUGGCGUUUCGGCACGAUGAGAUAGAGUCCCGGACAGGUCCUGCUGGGAGCAGCCGCCCAGGAGAACCCUCAGGGCAUCGGAUAAACCAUAAACGCCAGGUAGGAGAAGAUCCUCCUAGAAUUUAACGUGAUGGCAGACAAGGGAUAAAUCACCUGAUUAGCAACGGGAGGAUUUCAACAGCUUAGCUCUUUCUCCAAAUCAUUAAAAAGACAUUAGUUCUGUUAUUUUUUUCCCUUUCAUUCCUGCAUCCCCUUGUGUUUAGCACGGGGAUGAGGCAAGGACAGGCAGAGCUUCUGUGCUGAGCAGGGUCAAAACCAACGAGCUGGGCACAGAACGGGGAUGAAUUUCCAUCACACAUCCCAACGCGUCGAGAUCUGGGAUGGGGGAAAUCUGUUUCACAUCUAAAAAUCUUCAGAAGGAUUUUGUCCAGAGGUUGAGCUCCAACUCCAGGAUCAAUGUAACGUCUCAAGAGACCGUGUCUAUGUGCAUUUACCUAAGUAUUAAACCAAGCAUCAUAUGGGAAAAUUAUCUCCAGGGUCUUCUUUACCAACAUACCCUGUUAUUAUAAACCUUUCUGCCUUCACUUACAUUACUCAGAUUUGUCAAUCUCUAUUGUACUUCAACUUGCUUUGUAUUCCCUGGGCAAAACAGUCAUUUCUAGUCUCACAAGCUGCACUGAAAGAUCCGCCAGGUUCCAAAUCCUGC